CAAAAGCUUUAAGGAAAGCUCUUUGUUUUUUGAAAGGGUGCUUUUAUGAGAUAGAGCUUUUUUAGAUAAUGCUGGGGAAGGUUUUCCGGUUUAUCUCUGGCGGUCUAUGCAAGUAAGCUCUCAUCAAAAGCUUUAAGGAAAGCUCUUUGUUUUUUGAAAGGGUGCUUUUAUGAGAUAGAGCUUUUUUAGAUAAUGCUGGGGAAGGUUUUCCGGUUUAUCUCGGAGGGCUUGUAGCUCAGUUGGUUAGAGCGCGCGCUUGAUAAGCGUGAGGUCGGAGGUUCAAGUCCUCCCAGGCCCACCAAUUUACCUAUCCAUUUGCCUUUAUCCGUUUAUUUGCCGAUUUAUCGGUCCAUUGAAUUUAAGUGUUGGUAGCGGUUUUUAUAAUGAUGAGAAAUCAUGCUUAUAAAAGAAUUCCUUAUAAAAGGCUUGUUUUUAAAAUGUGACGCUUAUCCAUUUCGCUUAGGCAAAAGAAACUUCAAGCGGUCAAAUGCAAAAGGCUUUAAAUUUUGCAAAACACUUUGAAUUUUAAAGUGAUCCAAGUUCGUGAUCUCGAAUUUAAAAGUUUCGAAUGCUUUAUCCUUUUUUGGGGGCCGUAGCUCAGCUGGGAGAGCACCUGCUUUGCAAGCAGGGGGUCGUC
rnacentral:misc_RNA from 1 species